CCAGGUGUUUGGAAGAGUCUACACUUGGCUGUGCAGUGUGCUUUGAUCUAGCAAGGGGGAGGUCUUUUGCCCCACCCCUUGGCAUUAUUAUAAAAAGAUCUUUUGAAGAGGCAGAACAAACUGUUGGGUUUUGAUCCAGGUCCUCCCAAAGCUAUCCUGUGUUUCUGUCUUUCUCCUCUUUGCUAUCUUUCUGUCUAAAAGUUUCUUAUCCCUCUCUCUUCCUCAUAGGAACCCUUUUCAAAGGUGGGAGCUGGCCUCCCACAGAUGGUGCCAGAGCUAGGAACUUGGGUGCAGAGGAGAUAAGGGAGAGUAAGGAGCACCGUGGAACAUGGUUGGACAUGUCCAGUUAUGAAUUAUGAAAAUGUUAAGUGGUGGUAUUUUAUUCUUCAAGAGCAAAAACUGAAUAUAGAUAAAGCAGUGUGGCUACAAGUUAAGCCAAAGCAAGUAAUAAAAGUUAAGCUAUAGCAAGUAUCUCUCUCUGUAUGUUUCUCUCUCUCUCUCAAUUUCUAUCUAUUAAAUUAGGUAAAAAUAUAGGGUUAGGUAUACAGAUAUUGCAUAGGCUUAAUAGGAAGGAAUUUAGGGUAAGAGUAGAAUUUCCCUAGUGCCAGAUCUGGCACAGAAAACAGUAUCUGGGAACAAGCAGCCACUGCAGACUUAGCAUUCUGAGAAAGAAAAGUUGAUAUGGGGCAGGGAAAUAGUAGGCAGAUGUUUGUAUAUUCACUUGUAGGGAGUUUGAAAACUAGGGGACGAGGUAGAACAGCAACAAGUGCAGAGGUUCUUGAAGUUCAUAGAGGAACUGUGUCCUUGUGGGGAGAAUUGGAGUCAAAAUGCAACAAUAUUAUGAAGAACAUGGGCUGGAAAAGAUUCCGGUGGAAGCUUUUGGCCUAUGGGCAUUAAUUUGGGACAGUUGAGUUCUGAGUCCUGAGCAGCAGGGGGAAUUUUCCCUGAGGUGGACAUAGGCAAGACAAAACCUUCCACUCUACCAGAGCUGUUGCUAGACAGGGGCAUUUUUACAAAAUCAAUCAGGGUCAGUUCCCUCUUGGCCAUGAAACUGAGUUUAAGGAACAAAAGUUUUGGUAUGAGACAAGGGAGGAACUAAAGGGCUUGAGAGACUUAGGAAUUUCUCUUUCUCAAAAACUGGAGGCUCUUCAGGUCUCUCCUCAGAAUCGUACUCAUCUUCCUUCUGUAGGGGCAGAAUUAGACUCACCUGGGGGGUCAUCUAUCAGAAUAACAAAGUCACCCAUUAUUGUCCUGGCACAAAAGUCUCCUGAAACAUUGCAAAUCCUAUCUGCUGGUCCUGUAUCUCCUCUUCAAGCCAGUAUUAGGGAAGCAGUUAGCAGAGGGGAGAAAGUGCAAGGAUUUCAAAUGUUCCCUGUAAUUGAACAGCCAGACGCCGAGAAUAAUAUAGUGUGAAUGCAUGUAAAUAGAGCUGGGGGUGCCAGGAUUGCAACUGGCCAUGGCUGGGUUUCCUCCUGGACCCAGAAGGGCUGCUUGAGAACCGUAGCUCAUAGCAGUGGGGCAGCAUUCUGCUGUGCAGCAUGAGGCAUGAGAGAACCCUUGGCUUCACGAUGCCGGGGUCUCUAAGCAGGCAGGCCCAGAGAUGGGAGGCACAGACAGCCUGGGACAGUAAAAAAGAAAAGAAAAGAAAAACAAAACAAAAACAAAAAACACUGAAUGGAGCCAGCAGCCAAAGUCAUGCAGCUUCUGUUUGCUGCCUGUGUAGAGAGCUUUUUCGAGAGGACUCUGCAGCAUCUCAGCUAUGGUAACGAGGUGAUGCAACCUUCUUCCUGAGGCAGAGUUCCUAGGGUAAGACUGCCAUAAAAUGUUGCUGUAACUGAAAGCAAAGUUUCAGAGGCUGUUUGAACUGGACUGUUGCUUUCAGGGGAACUGCCAAAAAUUUUGGUUAUGGGUUUCUUUGUAUUUGGAACUUUAAGACUGUUAUCAGAACUGUCUUUUGGAAUUUUUCAGACUUGAGAAAUGGGAUGGACAAGAGUGAUUCAAUUGCAAUGGGACAAUUUUUACUUUACUUACACAUAUAGACUCUAUCAACUGUGAUGACUUAGGAAUUGCUUUGUGUUUUGUGUAUGCAUAUAUGCUUUAUUAACUGUGGUGACUCACAAUUCAUGUACCCUCUGUUUUGUUGGAAGAAAAUGCAAAUAGUUCUGUUAAGAGAUCUCUCCUAGAUGUUUGCUAAAGUUUGUAAAGUGUAAAUAGUCCUGUAGAGCAUUUGCUUUUGGAUGUAAGUUUGUAAGAAUUGUAAAUAUGUAUAGCAAUGUUCAUGCUAGAAUUAUGUUAAUCUGUUGAUAUUGAUGAACCAUGGUUUGAUGAAGCUAAGUGAGUCUUAAGUUUGAUGCAGUUGCAUCAGGAGUUUAUUGAUUUAUUUGAUGCAGUUGCAUCAAGAGUUUAUUGACUUAAAAAGGGGCUUGGCACAGCUAAGGUUGUUAUAGACAUCUUAGACCCAUUCAAAAUGGACAUUCUAUCUUGGUCAUCCUCUACUCCUUUACUGGGGUGUGUGGCAGCCAUAGAGAUUGCUGUGAUUGUUCCAGCUACUUGCAAGCUCUUAGUGGAAAAGCUGAUUGAGAGCUGCAUGGAGUUAUGCUCUGUACUCCCACUUGCGAGUUAUAUUAUUAGGAAGGGGGAAUUUGUGGAGGCCCACAUUAUUCAGGGUCAGAGAAUCUGAGCUUGCUUUAUCCAACAGGGCUGCAUAAGGUGAUGAUUUGACCAAAGGCAUGGUUACCAGGUGUUUGGAAGGGUCUAUACUUGGCUGUGCAGUGUGCUUUGAUCUAGCAAGGGGGAGGUCUUUUGCCCCACCCCAUGGCAUUGUUAUAAAAAGCUCUUUUGAAGAGGCAGAACAAACUGUUGAGUUUUGAUCCAGGUCCUCCUGAAGCUAUCCUGUGUUUCUGUAUUUCUCCUUUUUGCUAUUUUUCUCUCUGAAAGUUUCUUAUCCCUCUCUCCUCCUCAUAGGAACCCUUUUAAAAGGUGGGAACUGGCCCCCUACACACCACUAGCACUACUAAUUACAAUACCAGUUACAAUACUAUAAUAUUAUUGGGUAGAGAGGGCAAAAGGAGACAUCUUGGCUCUGAAGUUUCCCACAUGCCUAGUGUUUCAGUCACUUUAAAUUGAAAAACAAGAAGAAUCUAUGUGUUAAAUGAAAAGUAUAGUAUUUUGUAUAUUGCCAAGAGUAAUCUAUGGUGGUAUAAAGAAUGGUAAAUGAUUCAUAUUUUAUGUUCGUAAUUAAGGGGCCUGGAGUAUAACACAAUGGUAGAGUGCUCGCCUAGCAUGGUGGAAGUCCUAUUUUUAUCUCCAUCACUUCAAAAUAAGUAAAGAAAUAAGUACAACUCUAAUGUCAUGCAGGAAAAUAUGACUAGAACAUAAAGACAAUUGAAUGGCUAUAAUUAUCACCUAUAGUUGGCAUUAUAGUAGGUAAUUGUGCUCAUUUUUAAAAGUUAAAGUAUUGUUAUGUAAAUUAUGGGAACUACCAAACUUCCAGUGUGGUUGUAUCAUUUACAUUCUUGCCACCUAUGUGACUCUUAUACUUUCUUCACAUCUUUCAAUGUGCCAUUUUUUUGUUGAGCCCUUCUAGUGGGCAUGUAGUAGUUAUCUACUUUGAGAAAAUGAGUUAUUUACUGAAAAAGUUUUCAAGUGUGUAUUAGUGGGAAAAGAGAGUAAGCUUAUUCUGUGAGGCUUUGGGAGCAGAGCUUGGCAGAACUCAUUUAUAAUCUGGGGAUGCUGUAUUGUGGUUGCUCUUUAGCUACCGUCCACAGACAUUGACUGCCUUCACCAGAGAGAGGGUGUAUCAUAAGGGCGUGAUGCUUUGAGUCACAGACGGAAAGUAAAGUCAGAUCGGUACUGGGAAAGUCCAAGAAACCGAACACUCUCAGAAGAUCCAUGUUGCAGAAACGAGUGGAGUGUCAGACAACAGCUGGCAAGUACAUGUUGCAAUUUCGGAGAUUACUGCUUUUAAUCUAGAGUGGGAACUGCAAGCUCAUGGCUAACACGCUGUCAUCACCCAUUUGCAGCAAGGUUGUCUGUAAUUAUAUGAAGAGUUAAAUAACAAUAAACUAGCUAGCUCAGCUACUUUUUAUGACAGCCAGCCAAAAGACAGAGAGAUUCACAUGCAGAAAACCGUGGGAACAUCCUUAGGAGGAAGUGAAUGUCCGUAUGAGAAGGAGGAGUGAUAGAGUUCGCAAAUGUCAAGUCCCCAGUGGGAAAAAAGGAGUGCUCAUGGAUUUGAGCCGCCUCGGCCCUGAGAAAGGAGUGGCAAUUUCAUGUCAAGUCGAACAAAUCCAGAGCUCAGGACCAAGGAACGACAACAAGCUAUCAACUCAUCUUUAAUGUUGUAAGGAGUCCGUACUGCUCGGCCCCGACCCUUGGAGCAGAGGAGCCGAGAAGAGAGAUGCUUGGUCAGCAGGUGGAGCCAGCUGAUAGAGGGAGGGUGUGGAAGCUGGGAUGGAGGCAGCACAGCUAUGGAGGCACCCACCGAGCCUGCUGCAGAUGGGGAAGGGCAGGAAGCAAGCCAGCAGACAGAGGAAGAAUGAAGUUCACUUUUAGGAAUACACACAAUGAUGGAAAUAUAGCGAUUCUUGGAUUCUACAAGGAUGACACUUUCCCGGAUGCUACUGGCCACACUGGCUCCCUAGGACUCCCAAGAGCUCUGACAACAAGCCUGGAGUCUUGGAACAGACAGCAGACUUCAGCCAGAGGUGAACUUGAUAAGCAGAUCCAGCCGGGUCUCACUCUAAGGAACGUGCAAUGCAGUAAACUGAGUACUCGGGUCUGGCAGAGAUGGGGAAUUCCUUGGUCAUGAAGGAAAACUACAGAAAUUUCAUUUGGAGUAGGUUUUGCUGCCCAAGCAGUGCUGGCAGACCUGAGAAUCCCACUGUACUCAGCUACUCGCCAAGAGAUGGCUCCGUCCUAAGACUCUACAAGCUGUUCCAUGGGCGGCUACAGUGUCCUCCCGGAGUUCAACCAAAGGAGGUUCAGAUCACAGGAUCACUGGGGUUGGUCAACCUGAACCAGCCAUUGUGACCAAGGGGCGGAAUGGACAGAGUUGGCGGUGGUGGAGAAAUUAGCCCUGGGCUUGGGUUGGGUGUGUGAGCAUGAGAAAGGGGCAGAGAGCCCAGCUGUAACUUUGUCAAGAGUGAUGCAUCUGAAAGGUCACUAAGGAAGGCGUGGCGUCGUUCUCUGUCUUCACAUGAGGUGCUCAAGAAGAAACGAUUUGAGUUGAAUACGAGAGGUUUCCAGAAAAUCUAAAGGACACUUCUGAGUGAAGCAGACUUGCUAUGGGCAAUCACAUUCUCCCCUUUGUCUGCGUAUUGCUGAAAACAGGAGAGGAACUCAUGUGUUCUGCUAGUACUUAAGUGUGAUCCAAUUAGAAGAGAGCCUUACUGGCCUCUUCUAAUGCCUGGUUGUUGUUGAGAAAUACCAACAGUAAAAGGAAGAGCUGCCAUUUACAGAACACUUACAGUGGACCAUGGCCAUGUCAUGUAAUGUCUGUGGCAAGCUUGUGAGGUAAGGGAUACCAACAUUGCCCCUUUACAGAUGAAGAGAACCCUUAUCUCAGAGCUUUAAGGUAGCAAAUUCAGAUCUGGGUCUGUGUGACUACAGCAUCCAUGUGUUGAAUUAAUAUGCUAAUUUAUGUCUUCUGAAAUGUCAUGACUUAAUUUUUCAAAAAUAAGGUUUUUACCUGGGACUGCUAUGCCUUUCCUAUUCCAAGCAAUAUUUAUAAUCUUGGUCCUGGAUUUUAUUAUUUAGUCUGAAUGUGA